GAUGAACGCUAGCGGCAGGCUUAAUACAUGCAAGUCGUGGGGCAGCAUGAGUAGCAAUACUUGAUGGCGACCGGCAAACGGGUGAGGAACACGUACACAACCUUCCUUCAAGCGGGGAAUAGCCCAGAGAAAUUUGGAUUAAUACCCCAUAAUAUAUUUGAUAAGGCAUCUUAUUAAUAAUUAAAGCCUUCGGCACUUGAUGAUGGGUGUGCGGCUGAUUAGAUAGUUGGCGGGGUAACGGCCCACCAAGUCUACGAUCAGUAGCUGAUGUGAGAGCAUGAUCAGCCACACGGGCACUGAGACACGGGCCCGACUUCCUACGGGAGGCAGCAGUAAGGAAUAUUCGGGACAAAUGGGACGAAAGUCUGAUCCAGCCAUGCCGCGUGAAAGGAUUAAAGGUCCCUCU
rnacentral:rRNA from 1 species